rnacentral:rRNA from 1 species
GACGAACGCUGGCGGCGUGCCUAACACAUGCAAGUCGUGCGAGAAAGUUCCUUCGGGAGCGAGUAAAGCGGCGCACGGGUGAGUAACACGUAGGUAACCUGCCCCCCAGUCUGGAACAACUAGAGGAAACUCUAGCUAAUGCCGGAUGAGACCACGAUCCCCUUCGGGGGGUUGCGGCCCAAAGAUGGCCUCUACUUGUAAGCUAUCGCUGAGGGAUGGGCCUGCGGCCAUUAGCUUGUUGGUGAGGUAACGGCUCACCAAGGCUGUGAUGGCUAGCUGGUCUGAGAGGAUGACCAGCCACACUGGGACUGAGACACGGCCCAGGACUCCUACGGGAGCAGCAGUGGGAAUAUUGCGCAA